rnacentral:rRNA from 1 species
CAAUAGCGUAUAUUUAAGUUGUUGCAGUUAAAAAGCUCGUAGUUGGAUUUCUGGCAGGAGCGUCCGGUCUCACACUCAGUGCGGGAACUUGGAUGUCUCUGGCCAUCUUUGGGGAUAUCCUGUUUGGCAUUAAGUUGUCGGGCAGGGGAUACCCAUCGUUUACUGUGAAAAAAUUAGAGUGUUUAAAGCAGGCUUAUGCCGUUGAAUAUAUUAGCAUGGAAUAAUAAGAUAGGACGUAGGUACUAUUUUGUUGGUUUGCGCACCCACGUAAUGAUUAAUAGAGACAGGCGGGGCUAUUCGUAUUGCAUUGUCAGAGGUGAAAUUCUUGGAUUUCUGCAAGACGAACUACUGCGAAAGCAUUUAGCAAGGAUGUUUUCAUUAA